rnacentral:lncRNA from 1 species
UCUUUGUGCCCAAAAGGGGUUUGGGCAUUCCACUUGAUUGCUGGUUUCUUCUACUUGGUUGCUUCAUAAUCUAGGAAAGAAAAAGCAAGAGAAGAAGAGAAGAAGAAAGAUCAAAGAAAGGAUCAAAGAGUUGAUCGCGAUCUAGGCUUCGUUCAAAUUCACAGACUGAUUUUUCUUGAAGAAGAAAAAUUAAUUUUAAGAGGACUGUUUUAGGCUGAUCCUAAAUGGAUACCCAUAG